UACGAAGGGGGGCUAGCGUUGUUCGGAAUUACUGGGCGUAAAGCGCACGUAGGCGGAUAUUUAAGUCAGGGGUGAAAUCCCGGGGGCUCAACCCCGGAACUGCCUUUGAUACUGGGUAUCUCGAGUCCGAGAGAGGUGAGUGGAAUUCCGAGUGUAGAGGUGAAAAUUCGUAGAUAUUCGGAGGAACACCAGUGGCGAAGGCGGCUCACUGGCUCGGUACUGACGCUGAGGUGCGAAAGCGUGGGGAGCAAACAGG
rnacentral:rRNA from 1 species